AUUAAAAUGGCUGACAGGAAAGUAUAUGUUUUGAAAACAUACAAUAAAGGUUCGAAUCCUUUUUUUAAUU
rnacentral:tRNA from 1 species